rnacentral:rRNA from 1 species
UACGUAGGGUGCGAGCGUUGUCCGGAAUUAUUGGGCGUAAAGAGCUCGUAGGCGGCCUGUCGCGUCGGAUGUGAAAGCCCGGGGCUCAACCCCGGGUCUGCAUUCGAUACGGGCAGGCUAGAGUUCGGUAGGGGAGAUCGGAAUUCCUGGUGUAGCGGUGAAAUGCGCAGAUAUCAGGAGGAACACCGGUGGCGAAGGCGGAUCUCUGGGCCGAUACUGACGCUGAGUGCGCGAAAGCCAGGGGAGCAAACGGG